rnacentral:rRNA from 1 species
UGGCGAACGGGUGAGUAACACGUGAGUAACCUGCCCUUGGCUUUGGGAUAACUUCAGGAAACUGGGGCUAAUACCGGAUAGGAGCUCCUGCUGCAUGGUGGGGGUUGGAAAGUUUCGGCGGUUGGGGAUGGACUCGCGGCUUAUCAGCUUGUUGGUGGGGUAGUGGCUUACCAAGGCUUUGACGGGUAGCUGGCCUGAGAGGGUGGCCGGCCACAUUGGGACUGAGAUACGGCCCAG